rnacentral:rRNA from 1 species
UAGUCAUAUGCUUGUCUCAAAGAUUAAGCCAUGCAUGUCUAAGUACAUACUGUUUAUAAAGUGAAACCGCGAAUGGCUCAUUAAAUCAGUCCCCCCCAACGGGGGACCACCUCACCGUGGUGGGGGGGUGCUAUGUUCCCAAUAGGCUUCUGAUCAUUACUGGGUCUUUAGCUGGCGAAUACUAAGUGUUUAUUAGUACAAGACCAAUGAUUCUUAUUCACCUAGAACCCUGUUCAGUGAUUUCGGUCGCUGUCUAAGGACUAGCA